AAAAAUGAAAAAAGGCAUAGAAAAAUAAUUUCAAUCUUCCUUUUGUUUUCACCAAUCGAUUUCAAACUAAAUUUAUAUUUUAAAAAAAAAACAAAUUUUCGUUCAACACCUCAUCAAAAAUAUUUAAAAAAAACAUUUUUUGUGAGAAGAUUGUAAUGACACUCAAACAGGCAUGCCUUUGGUAGAACCCAAAGGCGCAAUGUGCGUUCAAAGAUUCGAUGAUUCACGGAAUUCUGCAAUUCACAUUACGUAUCGCAUUUCGCUGCGUUCUUCAU